UACGGGGGGGGUAAGCGUUGUUCGGAAUUACUGGGCGUAAAGGCUCGUAGGCGGCCAACUAAGUCAUGCGUGAAAUCCCUCAGCUUAACUGGGGAACUGCGUGUGAUACUGGAUGGCUUGGAUUUGGGAGAGGGAUGCGGAAUUCCAGGUGUAGCGGUGAAAUGCGUAGAUAUCUGGAGGAACACCGGUGGCGAAGGCGGACAUCCUGGACCAAUAUUGACGCUGAGGAGCGAAAGCCAGGGGAGCAAAACGGG
rnacentral:rRNA from 1 species